GGAGGCUUGCCCGAGCGGCCGAAGGGAACGGUCUUGAAAACCGUCGUGGCAGCGAUGUCACCGUGGGUUCAAAUCCCACAGCCUCCGCCA
rnacentral:tRNA from 1 species